UUUUUUUUUUUUUUUUUUUUGGCAAUUUAAAAUUUUCCAUGACCAUUAUUCAAUAGGAGCCAGGAAAGAAAGAACAUAUCUCACAUUUUGAAAGCAGCUGCCUUCACAUUUAGUAGCUGUGGUGUAAAGAACUUCCUCCGAAGCUAUUUUUUAAUAUACAAAUUACAGUCUUUGCAAAGAAAUUCAUUUGUAAAAUUCCAAGCCUAGAGUGCUUCAGAAGGGAUGGUAUGUGUUAGGAACAAAAUGAUUCACGCGGGCUUACUUUUAGUACGCUGUCACUCUGGUGAGGUGAAAAUAUGAUCCCACCUACAUUUAAAUCUAAAGAAUUCGUGUGUCAUGGAAAGCCAGCUUCAGUUGGACAACCGUGGCACCUGUUCACCGAGAGUUACAAGCAAGCUCCUUUCAUGGAAAGACCCAAAAAUUAAAAAAAAAAAAGAGGCGUUCAUUCUGUUAGGCAAAAUUAUCAUAUGGCACGUCGGUUACGUAUGGAUAUAAGCACGGGCCGCAUAUAAGUCUCUACGUCUGUAUAUCCGCAUGCACGCGUGCACACACUCCAGUAUUUUCAACACCUUAAUUAAUUGCACACACCUGUGCCUCAAGAGGGGACUCUCCAUAUUUUGAAUACUCCUCAGUUGAUAUGCAAAAAAUGAUCUCACCCUUCUGGCGGGGUUAUCUUGGUGAGGGAGAAGAGAUGUUCAGUCUCCUGGUCUCCAGGGGAAGUCAUUUGUUUCCUGAUCUUUCGGUUUGUAUUUUUAGAAAUGACUAAUAAGUCCUGUAUAAAAGCCAUUUCUGCUGGCAGGAUUAAUUGUAGCUAUCAUGCCCACUAAGCCAUCAAAUGUCCCACCUCCUGCCAUGAGAAGACAAUGGUGUCAGACACUUGAGUGACACUUCCCCAGUCAAAGCCCCAUAAAGUCCCACCUGGACACGCAGCUGCUGCAGGGCCUUGGAGCCUUGCCAAAAACUCAUUUCACGCUUUUGCCUCUUUGCUUGCGCAUGAAGGAGUGAGAUGAAGUGCUCAACGCUUAGCAAAAUGAUGUAAAGCCCUAGCAUCUAAAACAAACGUAAUUUUAGAACUGUCAAGCUGGGCUUUUCCUAAAAUUCUAAUAUCCCACGUGUCCUGCAAGCGAAGAUAUUUGUUCAAAGUUCAACAUCAACUCCCUUGGUGGUAACCCGUGAUCCCAUGUAAGGCCACUGGAGAGCAAAAGUGGCUCCUCAGUGAGGCUGGCCCUGGUCCCCUGUGGAAUCAUAAUGGGAUGACGGGGAGCAGCCCCACAACCUGGCGGUGAUGGCACGUAACCUACCUCAUCUGUGUCUUACUGUCAUUUUAAAAUGCAAAAAAAAAAAAAGUCUGAAUUUCAACACCUGCUUGUCCCCAGUGGUACAAAGGACAGACUGAGGACCUGUAUCUUAGAGAGGCAUCCUGGCCUCUCCAAUGACAAGCGAGAGAAACUGGGAACUAAGCCUUGGGGCUGCCAACAUUAGGACUAGAACGAGGAUUUUCUUCGGACUCUUCCAGGAUCAAUGUCAAAGACCCCCUAUAACUCACUGAUAUAUCACUUUUGAAUUGAGCAGAACUGGUUCAUGGGCAUCUGUUUUUAUUUGCCCGGUUAGCAAAGCUGCUGAAGGAUGAAGUUCAUUGCCUUUGCGUUACUUGUAUAGAUCACUUUGCUAAGCUUUGAAAGAGGUGCAUGCCUUAGGGGAAAAAAAAUGACUACAUUAUUGCUUUUAAGACCUGGUAGCUUUUUGAUCGUGGUUUCAAAUUUAUAAUGUUGGAUCAAUGUUAACAACUGCAAAAUAGUUUUUAUCUGCAAACCCGAGUAAGACAAGGUGAUAUUCCUGUCCCCGUUGGUACCAGCACUAAUGCUCUGGCUGACAUACAACUUCCUAUUACAUAAACUCUACCUGGAUUUCAAAAGAAAAAAAAAAUAUGUUAGUAAAUAAUUACACAGGUUGCCAGUAAAAUCCAUCUGAUAAUUUCCUGUAGAAUAAUUGGUAGAAAUCAGUGUGUAAAGAAGAGAAAGGGGUUCCAACUGCCAAAUGGUGGUUCCAUCAUGAUUUCUUCUAAGUUAUUUUACAGUAUAUUAGUGCAGUCGUAAACCAAUUGUAGUGAUUUAUAAUCACCAGGAGAGCCCCCAGAAGUGGCCCUGAAAUUAAUAAUUGGUUUGCAUUUAAAGCAACCCCCUUUAGCAAUGGCUUUUUCUAAGUGGAACUUCCUUAAGAGUAGCACUCUGACUUAAUUACUGAGACAGUUCAUGUUUAUCACCCUUUGGCUGCAGUGGGGAAUUUUAAAAAGAAUUAACAUAAACGCGAUUCUUUUUCCUCAUGAGGUGCAAGAGCAAUGAAGCAAUAGAAGACAUGAAGAAAAAUCCUAAAAAUAGUAACGCUUGUCAACAGAAACUAGGACAUUGAACUUAAUUGCUUAAGUUAAUGAUGCCUAUGAUACAGAUUACAGCGCUCUGCAAACGUGUGCGUGGAAUUCACAGAUGCUUGACUUCAAUUUUACGUUCAUCGGCAUUGGUACUUUUUGACAGGAGCAUCUAAAUAGGCAAAGAGCAAUAAACAUGAUUUGUUCAUAAGGCAUUUUCCUAUGUAAGUCUUCUCAAGUCGUAAGAUGAUUUUACCAGCAAUUUAUUUAAGAAGGUCAAAGAAAACUCUGGCUAUAAGUUCUUGCAACUCUUCAAUUAAGGGGAAAGAGCAAUAAAAUUAGAGCCAGGGGAAUCACGCUCAUUCUCAAUCUCCACAUCUAGCUUACUGGGAGACAGAAGGCACAUACGUUAUGUACUGGCUAGGUCUCCUAAGCAGCAAGUGGGGUUAAAAAAGCCUGUGCCAGGAUACAUAACCGAGUUUAUGGCAGGAUCAAAGAAGACAAUAUACACAAACAUGUGAAUCACCAGCCAACUUCUUCAUGUUACGCACAUAAAAAGACUAAACUUACACACUUUUGUCAAUGACAAUACGUGGCUGGGCUCUGUUCCAGUGGGGUGGCAUGUGAAUUCUUCUGGCUUUAUAUGUAUGCAAAACUGCUUUAAUUUUUUAAAAUAUUUUCUUAAAGGCUGUAACGUACCUCUUUUCCUGUUUAGUGCUAAAUAAAAACCUGAAUAAAAAAAAAAAAACCUGGCAAAUUCAGAUAUGACAUAGAUACUGGACAAUGAGAGCCUAAAUUUUCCAGUUAAUGUUCACCAAUUCAUGAUCGAGUUAAGAAUAUUUGGUAUUUCAAAACAGUCAUUUACACGAAUAACAUUGUUAAUCAUCAGGGGCACCUGGGUGACUCAGUGGGUUAAGCACCUGCCUUAAGCUCAGGUCAUGAUCUUGGGGUCCUGGGAUUGAGCCUCAGGGGGGGAGCCUGCUUCUAUCCUCCCCCCACCCCUAACUCAUGCUCUCUCACUAUUUCUCUCUCUCUCUCACUCAAAUAAGUAAAAAAAAAAAAAAAAAAAAAA
rnacentral:lncRNA from 1 species